AAGAAAGAGGAAACAAUGUUUCGAAAAAGUGUGACGAAAAUAUAAAAAAAAACGUCGAUUGGCAAUGUAAACAACAGAAAAGAAAUGAUGUUUGUGUGUCGAAAAGGCAAAUAUAAAAAGCCUCGAUUGGCAAUGCAAACGACAGCUGCCUCUCGAAAUUAUUUCUUCCUUUUCGAAAGAUGGAAACAAAAUCAACUUUAGCUGACAGGAAGGAGGAACAGCAGAAGAAGCAGAAGGAGCAGCCGUAGCCGAAAAAUAACGUGUCACACAGGAUCCCUCUUAUUGCCACGGCUCUGCGUAAUAAUUGGUUAAACGGAAAAGCAUCCGGAGAGUGCCCUGCCAUGACUAUUAAAAUCUCAAUAACUGUAAAAUGCUUGCCAUACACUUGAGAAAAAAACGAAUGGGGAUUGGGGGUAAGUAAGGCGAGGGGUGGGGUGUGGGGUGUGGAAUGGGCUUAAAAGCGUAUGUCUCUCUUUUUCUCUCCGUCCCUGCAUCCUGGCUGUGUGUGUAAGCCUGCCGAUGGCAAAAGGAAACUUCUGUUUAUUUAACUAUUAAGCAGAAGUGCACACACACAGAGGAUACUAUCUAUGUGUGUGUGUGUGCAUAAAAUAUAAAUGAAACGGCGCCUAAUGCUUGGCAAUACAAAGUCUCAAUGUGUUGUGCAGUAUUUUAGUUUUCAAUGCCUGAGCUUUUAUGCAAAGCAAACAAGCCACUCGCACACAUAAAUGGUGCACUGAGAGAAA